rnacentral:rRNA from 1 species
CCUAACACAUGCAAGUCGAACGGUAACAGGAAACAGCUUGCUGUUUCGCUGACGAGUGGCGGACGGGUGAGUAAUGUCUGGGAAACUGCCUGAUGGAGGGGGAUAACUACUGGAAACGGUAGCUAAUACCGCAUAACGUCGCAAGACCAAAGAGGGGGACCCUCGGGCCUCUUGCCAUCGGAUGUGCCCAGAUGGGAUUAGCUUGUUGGUGGGGUAACGGCUCACCUAGGCGACGAUCCCUAGCUGGUCUGAGAGGAUGACCAGCCACACUGGAACUGAGACACGGUCCAGACUCCUACGGGAGGCAGCAGUGGGGAAUAUUGCACAAUGGGCGCAAGCCUGAUGCAGCCAUGCCGCGUGUAUGAAGAAGGCCUUCGGGUUGUAAAGACUUUCAGCG